rnacentral:rRNA from 1 species
ACGGAAUAGAUACCCUGGUAGUCCACGCCCUAAACGAUGUCUACUAGUUGUUGGGAGAGUAAAAUCUCUUAGUAAACGCAGCUAAACGCGUGAAGUAGACCGCCUGGGGAGUACGGUCGCAAGAUUAAAACUCAAAGGAAUUGACGGGGGCCCGGCACAAGCGGUGGAUUAUGUGGAUUAAUUCGAUGCAACGCGAAAAACCUUAACCUGGCCUUGACAUGCUACUAACGAAGCAGAGAUGCAUUAGGUGCCGAAACGGGAAAGUAGACACAGGUGCUGCAUGGCUGUCGUCAGCUCGUGUCGUGAGAUGUUGGGUUAAGUCCCGCAACGAGCGCAACCCUUGCCAAUAAUUGCCAUCAUUUAAGUUGGGCACUUUAUUGGGACUGCCGGUGACAAACCGGAGGAAGGUGGGGAGUGACGUCAAGUCCUCAUGGCCCUUAU